GUUCCCUGAUUGCAUUUGGAUAACAGACGUUCUUCUAUCGCACUGCAACUCAGGACUCUUGUAGAAGUUGAACUUUACCAGUUUGAAGGUGUACAACUGUGCAAGUAUUGAACAUCAGCUUCAAAUGCAAUGUGAUCUAAAAGACAACAUAAUAAUGGACAGAUGUUCUCUGGUCGUUAGUACUGGUUUGCCACACACAUGAAUAUAUUGAUCCUGCUUUCAGCUAAAUAUCAGAAAAAUUAAGAACAAAGGAAAGGAUGCUGAAACUGUACAGUCACCGGUCAGGAUUGUUUCAGAAGUGAAAUUACAAUACAAUAUAUGUUACUGGUUAAUUCCUAUGAUUUGUAAUUUUAAACAACACACAUAGACUUUGCAUUAUUGUUUUACAAGAGAGACACCAAAAGAUGCAGUCAACAUUUAUUAUUUUUAUCAAAAUACACCGAGGACAAAUCAUGGGUACACUUAGCUUGAAAUAUGGUGCUUUCAUACCAAAAUUGCCUGGACGUAAAAGAAAUAAAGAACCAAAAUUCAUGUCAGGAAUCAUGCAGGGGAUAAGAUGAAAGAAUAAAGAAUAAGGCAGGAGUGAAAGGAAGAGAAAAAGUCAUCAGUAAAGAAACAGAUCAAUUUAAAUUAACAUGUAAUAAUUCCAUCUGAAUAUAACAAGCAUUGCACAUGUUAUGAAGAUUUAUUCACAUGUUACUAUGAUUUGUAGUUAUAUUUUAUUGUAUGUAUUUGUAAUAUUAUAUAGAACAUGUAUUUUAUUUUAGAACAGUAUUUUUCUUUUUCGUCGAGCCUGCGAUUUUGUCGCAGAAAGCUCGACAUAGGGAUAGUGAUCCGGCGGUGGCGGUGGCAUCGUUAGCUAACUUCUUAAAAGCUUUAUAUUUUAGAAGGUGGAAGACCUGGAUGCUUCAUACUUUGUAUACAGAUGCCUCAUGUUACGAUGUUUCCGUGUGUCACAUUUCCAUUGACCUUGACCUCAUUUUCAUGGUUCAGUGACUACUUGAAAAAAAAGUUAAGAUUUUUUGUAAUGUUAAUUUCUCUCUUAUUAAGAGUAAUAGGUUAAAUAUAUUUGGUAUGUGCGUACCUUGCAAGGUCCUCAUGACUGUCAGACAGUUUUCACUUGACCUCGACCUCAUUUCUUGGAUCAGUGAACAAGGUUAAGGUUUGGUGGUCAAGUCCAUAUCACAGAUACUAUAAGCAAUAGGUCUUGUAUAUUUGGUGUACAGAAGGACUGUAAGGUGUACAUGACCAACUGGCAGGUGUCAUCUGGCCUUGACCUCAUUUUCAUGGUUCAGUGGUAAGUUAAGUUUUUGUUUUGGUCUGUUUUCCUUAUACUGUUUGCAAUAAGUCUACUAUAUUUGGUGUAUGGAAUGAUUGUAAGGUGUACAUGUCUAGCUGGCAGGUGUCAUCUGACCUUGACUUCAUUUUCAUGGUUCUGGGGUCAAAGUUAAGUUUUUGAGUUGUGGUCUUUUUUUCUAAUACUAUAUGCAAUAAAGGUCAACUAUAUUUGGUGUAUGGAAAUAUUUUAUGAUGUACAUGUCAGUCUCGCAAGUUUUAUUUGACCUUGACCUCAUUUUCACAGUUCAUUGCUCAGUGUUAGGUUUUUGUGUUUUGGUCUGUUUUUCUUAAACUAUAAGCAAUAGGUCAACUAUAUUUGUUGUAUGGAAGAAUUGUAAGCUGUAUAUGUCUGCCUGGCAUGGUGCAUCUGACCUUGACCUCGUUUUCAUGGUUCAUUGGUCAAUGUUUAGUUUUCUUGGUUAAGUCUAUUUCUUAGAAACAAAAGCAAUAGGUCAACUAUAUUUAGUGUAUUGAAUGAUUGUAAGGUGUACAUGUAUUUCUUGUUUGGUUUAUAUGACCUUGACCUCAUUUUCUUGGUUAAUGUUAAGUUUAUGUGAUAGUGGUAGUAAAGCUUUAUAUUUAGGACUAUCAACAUAACAUCAAUAAUUAGUAAAGAAGGCAAGACAUUUCAGCGUGUGCACUCUUGUUAUAUUUUGUUGUGGAGAACAUCAAAGAAAUUUAGAAAAAUAUAAUUAAAGAUAAAGUUUCUUCCAUGUUUUCUGUGACAAAAACAAAAUUGUGCAAAUUAGGAAAAUGAAAUGAGGCUACAUUAUUGAAUAUUUUUGAGUUUGAGUUUUUUCUUUUUAUUCCUAUUUUAAAAUUUCAUUGGCAUUUGAAGUAAUGAGUUAAAACUAGUUUUUAUCAAUCAUUUUGUUUUCAAGAUGUACAAACAGUACAGUAGGUUAAGGUUUUGUGUACAAUAGUUUACUAUGAUGUUAUGGUCAAAUAAACUUGAAACUUUGUACAUUCAAGUGUUCAUUAUGAAGUCAUCGAUUUUUUAAGUAAUUACAAAUAAGUUACUGAAUAUGGAAAUCUGAUUGUGGAAGCAGGGCAUAAUGUGUUAUGGAAACACAUCUCAAUCCCAUAGAGCACCGCCCUCCUCACCAGCCUCUCAGCAAUGGAAUAUUGACUUUGAAAAUUUCCUUAGUUUACACUGUAAGAUUUGUAAGAAGUUCAGUUUAAGGAGAACCACUAAAAGUAGGUCAGGGAUAUUUUAUAUGCAGUUGAAUAAGCUUUUGGACAAUACAUGUGCUUGGGGAUUUUUUUAUCCUGAACCCUAAAUCAUGGUUUUAUAACUUAGAAUCUUUUGCAGUUUAUAUGGAAAGUUUAUGCUUAGGCCUGUUUAAAAUCGACCACUUAUAAGAGGAGGAUUUAGAGGAGGCCUAAGCCCCCUUUUUGUGGGACAAAUUUGGUUGAUAUUAUAUUUGGGAAAUUACUAAAGCAUGACAAAAGAGAUGCAGUAGAGAGCAACCUUAAUAUUUCUUAGAAAAUACUUUUUUCGGACCUGUAAUGAAAAGUAUGGUUAUAAACAAAAUACAUAUUUUUUUCAGUUAGAAACAUAUUUUUUAUGAAUCAAAAUUUUAACAAAUGUUGGAAACAAAUUUACAUAAAAACUUUCUAAAUGUAUCAAAAUUCUGUGUUGUAAUAUCUUAUAGAUUUAGUUUUUUCGGGAUUUUUCCCAAUAUGUUUAAGAAAUCUGUAGCAUAUAAUUUUAAAAAUUUGCUUGCAGAUUUUAUUUCGGGAUUUUUCCCGAAAUGGGUAAAAAAAAUCUAUGUAACAAGUGUGUGCCUGAUAAUAGAUUUAUAUUUUCGGGAUUUUUCCCGAAAUGUGAAAAGAAAUUAUUAGUCAUGAGUUCUAGCAUAUACGUUCUGUUUUCGGGAUAAAUCCCAAAAUAUCCGAAGACAUCUGUGUUAUACAUUUUUCACUUAGUUUAUUUUUGUCGGGAUUUUUCCCGAAAUGUGUUUCAGAUCUGUUUGUCAACAUUCUUUGCCAACAUAUAUGUUAUAAAUAAUAAUGUUGAUAAUGAUUUUGGGACAUUUCCCGAAAAGUUGUCACAUACAUCUUUACCACAAAUUUUUAAAAACUUUCAUAUAUUUUGGGAAAUUUCCCGAACAUUAAAUGUAAAUUUUAUCAAUUAUAAGAAUAAAAACAUGGAAUAUUGUAAAAUAUGUGUGUUUCUUUAUGAAAUCUGCAUUCAAUUUAUGGUAAACAUUGAAAAAGAUUAUAGAAAGGAAUAAAAUGGAUUUUACUCUUUUAAAA